GUGAAGGAUCCUGUAGAAAUUCAAACCCUAGUGAAUAAAGCCAAGAGAGACCUUGAAGUAAUUCGUCGACAGAUCGCUGUUGCCUGCCUAGUGUGACCCACCUCCAGUCCUCUGGUGCAGCUCUGAUGGAGAAAUCUUUGAUGCCAACUAUAUCCACCUACCAAAGUACACAUUAGUAGAUAUAACCCAAAUAAACUGAUGGUCUUGGGAUCCUUAACAACUUUGAAGAGUGAAAAGAAAUCCUUAGAACAAAAUGUUUGCGACGCUGCCUUACGGCAUUUGGUAUGGAAGCUUUUCCACGUGGAACAGCGUAAGUAUACAAUGGGUCUUCAAAAAGCUCAUGAAAAAUGCAUAUUAUUUUAAAACUAUGCAUGGAUUUCCUUUUUUUUUUGCACCAAAUAAACUUGUACUAACUUGUUGUAGCAUGUCUGAACAGGAUCUAGGUUGAGGCUGUAAGAAGGAUAAGACAUCAGUUUGAAAAGACCCCUCUAUCAGAGAAACAUGAAUCCUGCUAAAAUUGAAGCAAGAAGAAACAUCAAACUUAUGGUGAAGUUUGGGUGGAAGACUGGUGAAAUCACCGAUGCUUUACAAAAAGUUUAUAGGCACGAUGCCCAAUGAAAUCAGCAGUUUGCAAAUGGAUAACUCAUUUUUUAAAAUUCUUUUUUAUUAUUAUUAUACUUUAAGUUCUAGGGUACAUGUGCACAGCGUGCAGGUUUGUUUACAUACCGAUUGACUAAUUUUUUCCCCAGACUCCCCUCCUCUACUUUCUCUCUGUUCCAGUGUCCCCUUUCCAAUGGGAUUAAGUAACGUGCACAGGGUCUGCUGCAGAGACAGCAUGCAGUGGGCCCUGAGUGUGCCGUUUGGAAGGGCUGGGGCAUGGAAGAGCCAAGCUCCAAGGUCAUGGGACAUUUGAACCUAGGACGUCAGAAGAUACCGACAGGUGUUUUGAUGUGAGUUUUCCUCUGGACCAUCACACUGUUGUACUCUUGUGUUUGCGCUCACCCGUGAUCAGUAGUCAUGGCACUGUGAGGUCAGGACAGUAAACAGCGGCCCGUGGUUCUGUGUGGGGUGAGGGGCUGGCACGCUGGCAGGAGGCGUUUGUGAUCCAGGCAAGUCCUGACUGUGUCUGGCUGGCUGCUGCUGCAGGACCUUUCACCGUGUUUACCUUUGCUCUGCUCCCCAGCGGACGACGUUUGACGUCGCAUUUCCAAACAGACCUCUACUUUGACCUCAUGCAGCGUGACGGGGAAUAGACAACAGAAUUGUAAGGCAAACACCUGUUUGUAAAUAAGGAGAAACCCAACCACCUGGGUCAAAAUGAAUGAGCCCAAACCUAAAAUAAAUCAGAGUAGGGGCAAGAGGGUUGCCUUUAUAAAGGAAAAAUAAAACUUAGAGCCUGUUUUCCGUAAGCGUGUGCUUUCCAUAGCACCUUCAGCACUGUGAUAAAUGUAGGGUGUUCUUGUGAGGAGAUUUUAAGUAUGUGAAAGUUAAUUUAUUCCUGCAAUCAUCCCAUAUCCAAACCUUAACAGAUCAGUUCUCACAAAGUUUAAAUCAUCACACUAUAUAUGUAAUCAUUUUUUCACUACUAUGAUGGCUAAAAUUCCUCAACAUAGAUUGUUUGCUACAAACUGGCAUGGGAUGUGUUUUAAUACUGCUUGCUUUGUGUGUAUCAGUAAAGCUUAAAAACGAUUAAGAUUUGUAACUUUUCCUUUUCCCAAAUGUAAAGCUUUCCACAAAAACUACAAAGAAAUCCAUUAGUUUCUCUACAUGGUAGUCAGUCUUUAUAAAACAGUCGCCAAGCCUUGCCUCCUGGUGUUCACACCUCUCCCAUAGCCCAUGUCACCAACAGGAGGCUGCACAAGUGGUAAUGUGUAACGUCCAAGGCUGAGUCACAAAAGAGCUGAGCACUCCCCCAACCCUCCCCUGCUUUGAGGAAGCUGGCCGCCAUGUUGUGAGAACACUCAAGCAGCCCUUCAGAGCAACCAGCAUCAAUUUGCCAGCCAUGUGAGUUAACCUCCUUGGAAGCAGAUUUAAGACUCUGAUGGCUGUAGCCCUGGCUGACAGGUUCAUUGCAACCUCAUGAGAAACUGAGCCAGAACCACCCUAAUAAAACAUUCCCCAAUUCCCUAACCCUCAGAAGCUGUACAAUUGUAAAUAUUUACUGUUGCUAAAGACAUACUAAGUUUGAGGUAAUCUGUUACACAGCCAUAGAUAAUUAACAUACUUUGUGUACAUAAAUAUCUAUAAAUGCUUAGGAAGGAUCUAGAAAGAUGCACGUGGGGAAUGUGGUGAACUUGGAAGAGGUGGAAUAGUAGCAAAGAAAUAAUACUUUUGUCUGUAUCGCUUUAAUUUUUCCUCCAAGUGCAUAUAUGUAUGUUUCAAUUAUAUAAUUAAAAAUAAAUUUAGGGAUUCACUAUAGUAGCAACCCUGGGUAAUCCUUGGAGAGGGCCUGAGAGACAAGGACAUGUGGAUCCCAGUGGCCGGGCUUCCUCCUUGGCUGAGGCUCUCCGCCUUGGCGGGCGCUGGUCACUUUUGCAUUUGAGGGUCUGGAGCUGCGACUGGAAAGCACUUGCCGGCGAGGAACCGCCGUGGCCUGUCUGACUCCUCUCCGCAGCUGUGGCCCAAUCCGGAUUUCAGGAACACGCCAAGGAAGAUGUCUAAGUCCAGCUUAGACUUUAAGCGUUACGUAACCAAUCGGAGAUUGGCUGAGACCCUGGCAAAACAAAACAGACCUCUACACCUAUUGCUGCAGUGCAAUCCGGGUCCUGGAAUCCUGACUCAGGCAUUACUUGAAGUUGAUGCCAAAGCGGUUGCCCUUGAAAGUGACAAAACUUUUAUUGCACAUUUGGAGUCCUUAGGAAAAAAUCUGGAUGGAAAACUACAAGUGAGUCACUGUGACUUCUUUAAAAUAGAUCCUAGAAGUGGUGGAGUAAUAAAACCACCUGCUAUGGCUUCUCAAGGGCUGUUUCAGAAUUUGGGAAUAGAAGCAGUUCCUUGGACAGCAGGCAUCCCUUGAAAAGUAACUGGAAUGUUCCCAAGUAGAGGUGAAGAAAGGGCAUUUUGGAAACCUGCAUAUGACUUGUAUUCCUGUACUUCUAUAUAUAAAUUUGGAUGAAUAGAAUGAAAUAUCUUUAUUGGUGAAAAAGAAUUCCAGAAACUAACAGCAGAUACCCGAAAUCCAGACUUGUAUCAUGUAUGAAGUGUUAUCUGGCACGCAGCUUGUGAGAUUAAGGUUCUGCUCAUGGAGCCUUGGUCAUCAUUUGAUGUGUACACCCGAAAUGGGCGGCUGGAAAACCCAAAGCAUAGGGAAUUAUUAGAACUAUUACAACACAAUCUGUAUCUUAUUCGAAUGACUCCUUGUGGAAAUUUAUUUACCAAGAACUUAACACUUAUUCACUAUAAUAUAUUUUUUCACAUGUUAAAGCACUGUUUUGUGAGGCGCAGUGCCAAUGUAAUAGACCACUUACGUUCACUGACUCCACUUGAUGCAAUGGAUAUAUUGCCGCAAAUAGGAAAAAAGGAAGAAGAGAAAAUAACUAACGUGUACCCUCAAAACUUCAAAAAACUUUUUGAAACUAUAGAGUGUUCCAAAGAUUGUGCUUAUAAAUGGCUAUAUGAUGAAACCCUGGAAGAUAUGUAGCACCUACACUGUUGUUUUUGGUGGAGCAGUUUAUUUGGAAACUAUGACAUGAAAACCAAAUUUGAAAGCUCACAUCCUUUCAGCAGAAGAUAACUGUUCUUGUUUUGCACAUGCCAGGCAGAUCAUUUAGUUGAUAUCAUUGGCAUAUUGGAUGAAAUAGUGGCUGCUAUUUUAUUCACAAUCGAAUAAAAUGAAAACUUCAAUUAAUUGUGGAUUUGAUCAGAUUGAAUUCGUUUUGUUUCAGAUUCCUAUUUAAAUAUUUCACUUUCACUGUUGCUGAUUUUUGCAUCUUCUUGAGGAGCAAGAGUCUGUUUAUUAUUAAGCUUAGAAAGUAAACAAAACCUGAUUUACUGAUUUGUUUUGCAUUUCAGUUGGUUGAAAUGUAUUGUCAAGUACUGUACAAUGAAAUUGUUUAAAUUUUAAUAUGAUUUAAACUUUUUUAGAAAUUAAAAUAUUUUAAAUAA